UGAAUCUGUAAACAGUGUGUGUAAUGUAAAGCCCUGUCUGGCUGUCCCUGAAGUGCUGAGGCUGAACAACAGCCCCUGAGCCAAAGCUGAGCUCUAGAUGAACCUUCCAACCUAAUGGGCUGUGUCUCCAUGUAUCUGCUCAUCAGCUAAAACUGUGUCUAUUUGUUGGUAAAAAUGUGGUGUGAUGGGACUCCACCUGUGUAUCUGCUCCUGAACAAACAGGUGUGCUUAUUAGUCAGAUCUGUUAGUCUGGGCUCAUUAGUGAAUCCUGUUUGUACCUGUUCAUUAAUGAAAUAUGUCUGAUUGUGAGCAAAAUGUGAUCUUUAUCCUUCUGUAUCUGGAGAGUGGUCAAGGCCAUGGCAGUCGAUGUCUGGCCUUGUUUGGCAGCAGAUGGGGCAGGGGGAGCCUUGGUUUGGGAGAAGUAGAACAUUGCUCCCACUAUUCUGCUCUGGCCAAAUAAGGAACAAUAGAAUCUUAGAGAAGUCCUGGAGAAUUGGAUCAGGGCUGGAACUCAAGCAAACAGGAUGUGAGCUGAGCUCUGGGGACCCAGAGAAGAUCAAACCAAACAUGAUGGUCUCUGUGGGGAAAACCAGUGAUGCUGAGAACCGAGGUCAAGAAGGGGAUACCUGACUUUGGGCGGGCACCAGAUGCCAAAAAACCCACCAUGACCCCCAGAGAAGACCCCAAAUGACCAAAUAGGUGCUUGCAAUAAGGGGUGUGACUAUGUAAACCAAAGUAAUGUCUAUGUAUUAAGUAAGGGAGACUAUCCAAUGAAUAUGGAAAGUGUGUAAUAUAAAGCCCUGUCUGGCUGUCAUUGAAGUGCUGAGGCUGAACAACAGCCCCUGAGCCAAAGCUGACCUCUAGAUGAACCUUCCAACCUACUGUUCUCUUUAUCCAUGUAUUUGCUCCUUAGCUAAAACUGUGUAUGUUUGUUGGUCAAAGAUGUACUGUGUGAAAAGACUCCCCGUGUAUCUGCCCAUGAACAAAAUAAAUGUGCUUAUUAGUGAGA